UGAAUACGAGACGCUACGGCGUCGAAGCAGUCUAUGUCAUACUUCCAAGAAAAGCUUGCACUGUCAUAAACAAAUAAUGCCUGUACCAUAACCGACACAGGUGGGUAGGUAGAGUAUACUAAGGGGCGCGAGAUAACUCUCUCUAAGGAACUCGGCAAAAUGACUCCGUAACUUCGGGAGAAGGAGUGCCUUAUUUAUAAGGUUGCAAUAACAAGAUCCAAGCAACUGUUUAUCAAAAACACAGGUCUCCGCUAAGUCGUAAGACGAUGUAUGGGGGCUGACGCCUGCCCAGUGCCAGAAGGUUAAAGAAGUUGGUUAGCAUUAGCGAAGCUGAUAACUGAAGCCCUGGUGAACGGCGGCCGUAACGAUAACGGUCCUAAGGUAGCGAAAUUCCUUGUCGGGUAAGUUCCGACCCGCACGAAAGGCGUAAUGAUUUGGAUACUGUCUCGGAGAGGGGCUCGGUGAAAUAGACUUGUCUGUGAAGAUGCGGACUACCUGCACCUGGACAGAAAGACCCUAUGAAGCUUUACUGUAACCUGAAAUUGAAAUUGGACUUUAUUUGCGCAGUAUAGGUGGGAGGCGUUGAGAAUAUUCUUGCGGGAAUAUUGGAGCCAUCAGUGAGAUACCACUCUUGUAAUGUUAGAUUUCUAACUUUGAAUCAUUAUCUGGUCAAAGAACAGUUUCAGGCGGGCAGUUUGACUGGGGCGGUCGCCUCCUAAAUGGUAACGGAGGCGCACAAAGGUUUCCUCUGAACGGGUAGAAAUCGUAUCUAGAGUGUAAAGGCAUAAGGAAGCUUGACUGUGAGACCUACAAGUCGAGCAGGGACGAAAGUCGGUCUUAGUGAUCUGACGGUGCUGAGUGGAAAGGCCGUCACUCAACGGAUAAAAGUUACUCUAAGGAUAACAGGCUGAUCUCCCCCAAGAGUUCACAUCGACGGGGAGGUUUGGCACCUCGAUGUCGGCUCAUCGCAUCCUGGGGCGGUAGUACGUCCCAAGGGUUGGGCUGUUCGCCCAUGAAAGCGGUACGCGAGCUGGGUUCAGAACGUCGUGAGACAGUUCGGUCCAUAUCCGGUGUAGGCGUUAGAAUAUUGAGAGGAGCCUUCUUUAGUACGAGAGGACCGAGAAGGACAUACCUCUGGUGUACCAGUUAUCGUGCCAACGGUAAACGCUGGGUAGCUAUGUAUGGAGAGGAUAACCGCUGAAAGCAUCUAAGUGGGAAGCCCACCUCAAGAUAAG
rnacentral:rRNA from 1 species